rnacentral:lncRNA from 1 species
UUUUAAUAAACAUUAUCCCUUUUUCAUGAUAUAUAGACUAUAAUAUUCGUUUUAUAAAUAUAAAAAUAUUUUAAUCGAUUCAAAAUAGGUCUUAUUUUUCAGUGCACAUGGAUCUAAAAAGAUAAAAUUUAGUGCUUCGUUUAAUUAGUAAUAAAAUCAAUCAGGUGAAAUUAAGUCUACAAAGUUGGGCAUAAUAAUGUUAUAUGGAGUAUUUUGAAAGUGAAGGGUUUUGAUCAAUCAAAGCAGCUAUAUAUAUAUAUGUGGUGACUUUGAAAGCCCAAAUCAAGUACACAUGCAGUGAUAUAUAUACUCCUAUAAAUAUACGACGACGAAGAAAAUUGAAAGAUAUAGGGUUUGUAGGUGGUGUAUAGAUCCGGGCCACUGAGUUUGGGUUAUGGGAAGGUGGGUGGCCCACUGGUGAGUAAAUUCAAUGGAUUGGGGUUGCCAAAAAGAAAAUCUAACGUCUCAUGAGGUUAAAACAGACAGGGGCCAGCUAGUUGAAGUGUUUUUUUUUUUUUGAAUCGUCCUAUUUUUUUCAGCUUUACCUUACCUGCCUGUCAAAAAUUGGAACAUAUCAAUCAAUCAAUCAAUCACUAGUCACUCAUAAGCCUCAUACUUGACACAAUCCAAAUCAAACCCAGUAACUUC